rnacentral:rRNA from 1 species
CACGCCGUAAACGUUGUAUACUAGGUGUUAGUGGCUUGACCACUAGUGCCGCAGCAAACGCAUUAAGUAUACCACCUGGGGAGUACGCCCGCAAGGGUGAAACUCAAAGAAAUUGACGGGGGCCCGCACAAGCGGUGGAGCAUGUGGUUUAAUUCGAUGAUACGCGAAGAACCUUACCUGGGCUUGAACUGUGCUUGACAGGUGUAGAGAUACGCUCUCCCUUCGGGGCAAGUACAGAGGUGC